CCUGAUGGUUCAGAUGGUAAAGAGUCUGCCUGCAAUGCAGGAGACCUGGGUUCGAUCCCUGUGUCAGAA
rnacentral:tRNA from 1 species